GGAGGGGUGGCCGAGCGGUCGAAGGCAGCGGUCUUGAAAACCGCCAACGCGUCAGCGUUCAAGGGUUCGAAUCCCUUCCCCUCCGCCA
rnacentral:tRNA from 1 species